AACGCUGGCGGCAGGCCUAACACAUGCAAGUCNAACGAUAAGCCACCUUCGGGUGGUGGACASUGGCAGACGGGUGAGUAACGCGUGGGAACGUGCCUUUCGGUUCGGAAUAACCCAGGGAAACUUGGGCUAAUACCGGAUACGCCCUUCGGGGGAAAGAUUCAUUGCCGAAAGAUCGGCCCGCGUCGGAUUAGCUAGUUGGUGGGGUAAUGGCUCACCAAGGCGACGAUCCGUAGCUGGUCUGAGAGGAUGACCAGCCACACUGGGACUGAGACACGGCCCAGACUCCUACGGGAGGCAGCAGUGGGGAAUAUUGGACAAUGGGCGCAAGCCUGAUCCAGCCAUGCCGCGUGGGUGAAGAAGGCCUUAGGGUUGUAAACCCCUUUCAGCGGGGAAGAUAAUGACGGUACCCGCAGAAGAAGUCCCGGCUAACUCCGUGCCAGCAGCCGCGGUAAUACGGAGGGGACUAGCGUUGUUCGGAAUUACUGGGCGUAAAGCGCACGUAGGCGGAUUUGUAAGUCAGGGGUGAAAUCCCGGGGCUCAACCUCGGAACUGCCUUUGAUACUGCAAAUCUCGAGUCCGGAAGAGGUGAGUGGAAUUCCUAGUGUAGAGGUGAAAUUCGUAGAUAUU
rnacentral:rRNA from 1 species